rnacentral:rRNA from 1 species
AGUGGCNAACGGGUGAGUAACACGUGGGCAAUCUGCCCUGUACUUUGGGAUAAACCUGGGAAACUGGGUCUAAUACCGGAUAUGACCGAGCCUCGCAUGGGGUUUGGUGGAAAGCUCCGGCGGUACGGGAUGAGCCCGCGGCCUAUCAGCUUGUUGGUGGGGUAAUGGCCUACCAAGGCGACGACGGGUAGCCGGCCUGAGAGGGUGACCGGCCACACUGGGACUGAGACACGGCCCAGACUCCUACGGGAGGCAGCAGUGGGGAAUAUUGCACAAUGGGCGCAAGCCUGAUGCAGCGACGCCGCGUGAGGGAUGACGGCCUUCGGGUUGUAAACCUCUUUCGCCAGGGACGAAGCGCAAGUGACGGUACCUGGAUAAGAAGCACCGGCUAACUACGUGCCAGCAGCCGCGGUAAUACGUAGGGUGCGAGCGUUGUCCGGAAUUAUUGGGCGUAAAGAGCUCGUAGGCGGUUUGUUGCGUCGUUCGUGAAAACUCCACGCUUAACGUGGAGCGUGCGGGCGAUACGGGCAGACUUGAGUUCGGUAGGGGAGACUGGAAUUCCUGGUGUAGCGGUGAAAUGCGCAGAUAUCAGGAGGAACACCGGUGGCGAANGCGGGUCUCUGGGCCGAUACUGACGCUGANGAGCGAAAGCGUGGGGAGCGAACAGGAUUAGAUACCCUGGUAGUCCACGCUGUAAACGUUGGGCGCUAGGUGUGGGCGACAUCCACGUUGUCCGUGCCGUANCUAACGCAUUAAGCGCCCCGCCUGGGGAGUACGGCCGCAAGGCUAAAACUCAAAAGNAUUGACGGGGGCCCGCACAAGCGGCGGANCAUGUGGAUU